GAGAUGUUAGGCUGCAAGGUUUACAUUGAAUUUAUAAAGCUGCGUUUGGUUUGAAAACUAAACUAUGAAGAAUAAUUUUCGUUAUUUAUGAGAACAAAAAUAUUCAGUUAUAAAAUAGAAUAAUUAUAAAUUUGGGUUCGUAUGCAUUCAAGAAUAUCUAGAAGACAUCCUUAGUAGCAUUUGGAUAAAAAGUCCACAACAAUGCCUAAAUAUAUUUUAAAAAUAAAAUAAUUAAUUAUAUCAGUAUUUUUUAUAUAGAAUUAUUUAUAAAAUUAUUUUAUAUAAUCAUUUAUAAUAUAAUAUUAUAUGUAACAAUUAUUUAUUUUACUUUAUAUAAUAAUUUAUUUUAUGUAACAAUUUACUUUAUAUAAUUUAUUUAUAAUAUAUGUAAUGAAUAAAAUAUAAUAUUAACAAUAAACAUAUAACAAUACAAAUUAGGAAUAAUUUCAUACAGUUCCCUAGACACAUCGAAUAGUAGAUAUAUCCCUACAAAGUUCAAAUUUUCAAAUUUAUCUUUCGAAAAGUCUUAAUGGUUUUAAAUAUAUCCCUUCUGUUAGUGUGUAUUAGAAAAUUGUAGUUCAUCAUAGGUAAAAUACUUAACCUUGGUUUUUUUUUUUUUAAGAGAAAGGUAGCAUGCUAUAUGCUUUAUUUAUUUCUUUUAGAAAUGAAUUUAGCUGAAAAUGUGAAUUAAUCAGGAUUCGAACUUGAAAACCUUGGCUACCAACCGCCAAGCUCUUUCUCACUUGCGCUAGGGAUGAUCGGUUAACCGUUUCACCCCUCUUAUAUUUUAACUUCUUCUCUCAAUCAAAACUCUAGGUUGACCACCCUAGGAAUGGAAGCUCUUCUUCCUCUUUCACUUCUUCUUCUUCCUCCUUCAUGCUAUUUUCAAAUCCGUAACUAGGAUUUCUCCAUCCCCAUUCCUCCACGAUACGUGUUGCUUCGCUCAUGUUCAGCGCUGGGGAAUUAACAUAUAGAUAAAGAAGAAAAUGAGUGAGAGGAGGUGGGGAAGAGAUUGCAAUAAUAGAGGAUUGGGUAGCUUUUGUAGAGGAAGAAAAUAAUCAUUGAGAAUUUUUUGGGAGAAUAUUUUUAUACAAUUUCAACCGUUGAAUCUUUUGAAGAAACAUAUUUAUAAUGAUAAAAUUGAUAUUUCAAUUAUCUUCUAUUAAAAAAUGAACAGUAAGCUAACGAUAAUAAACUAGGCAAAUAUGAACAUCACUGUACUUUUGAAAGGGUAAAUCUAAAAGCUUGAAUUUUAUAAGGAUAUAUUUGUUAUUCGAUAU
rnacentral:lncRNA from 1 species